rnacentral:rRNA from 1 species
AUUGAACGCUGGCGGCGUGCUUUACACAUGCAAGUCGAACGGUAACAGGUUAAGCUGACGAGUGGCGAACGGGUGAGUAAUGCAUCGGAACGUGCCCGAUCGUGGGGGAUAACGCAGCGAAAGCUGCGCUAAUACCGCAUGCGAUCUGAGGAUGAAAGCGGGGGACCGUAAGGCCUCGCGCGAUCGGAGCGGCCGAUGUCAGAUUAGGUAGUUGGUGGGGUAAAGGCCCACCAAGCCGACGAUCUGUAGCUGGUCUGAGAGGACGACCAGCCACACUGGGACUGAGACACGGCCCAGACUCCUACGGGAGGCAGCAGUGGGGAAUUUUGGACAAUGGGCGAAAGCCUGAUCCAGCAAUGCCGCGUGCAGGAAGAAGGCCUUCGGGUUGUAAACUGCUUUUGUACGGAGCGAAAAGGUCCUUUCUAAUACAAGGGGCUCAUGACGGUACCGUAAGAAUAAGCACCGGCUAACUACGUGCCAGCCGCCGCCGUAAGAC